rnacentral:tRNA from 1 species
CAGCGGGUCGUGAGCGGGACUGGCGCGCACCUGCCGCAAACCGCUCGGCUGAGCGUAUCGCGGGGUGUCUUGAAAACCGUUGGGCGCGAAAGCGCCUCGUGGGUUCGAAUUCCCACCCCGCCGC